rnacentral:rRNA from 1 species
AUGGAGCGAGCGAACACGGAGCUGUACCUGGAGAACCUGUGCAUCAUGCAGGAGAACGAGCGGCUCCGGAGGAAAGCACAGCUGCUGGCCCAGGAGAACGAGCAGCUCCUCGCCGAUCUCAAGCGCAAGCAGCAGCACAUGGCGGCCUCCUCCAAGACGGCGCCCCAGAUGGCGAAGGGCGGCGAGCCGUCCGGCCUCAAGUCCGGCAAGCAGCAGCCCCAGUGA